CCUACGGGAGUCAGCAGUGGGGAAUAUUGCACAAUGGGGGAAACCCUGAUGCAGCGACGCCGCGUGAGCGAUGAAGUCUUUCGGUAUGUAAAGCUCUAUCAGCAGGGCAGACGAUGACGGUACCUGCCUACGACGCCCCGGCUCACUACGUGCCAGCAGCCGCGGUCAUACGUAGGGGGCAAGCGUUAUCCGGAUUUACUGGGUGUAACGGGAGCGUAGACGGCGAUGCAAGCCAGAUGUGAAAGCCCGGGGCCCAACCCCGGGACUGCAUUUGGAGCUGGGUGGCUGGAGUGUCGGAGAGGCAGGCGGAAUGCCCAGUGUAGCGGUGAAAUGCGUAGAUAUUAGGAGGAACACCAGUGGCGAAGGCGGCCUGCUGGACGAUGACUGACGUUGAGGCUCGAAAGCGUGGGGAGCAAACAGGAUUAGAUACCCUAGUAGUC
rnacentral:rRNA from 1 species